GGGCCCGUCGUCUAGCCUGGUUAGGACGCUGCCCUGACGCGGCAGAAAUCCUGGGUUCAAGUCCCAGCGGGCCCA
rnacentral:ncRNA from 13 species